UCGAUCGUACAGCAGUAUCUGCAGCGCAGCCUCCACGCCGUAUCCCAAACGAGAUCAUACGCGUCUCAGGGCUCAUAAUAAACUGACGCUCUGCUGUCAAGGUUUUCAAAUGCACUCAUGACAGCACUGGCGCCGAAGUCUCAAGCAGCGAGUAAUACGUACACGAUCCAGAUGUGAAAGUUAACAACUACACUCGCAGUUUGUUUAUGACGCUUUCGUCCCGUCUGCUGCUUUUAAAAAAAGGGGAUGUCGCAUCUUUUAAAGCUCCCACAACGCCUUGCAGGACCCUACAAUGAAAUUCAAGAAGUUUUUUUUUUUUUUGUUUUGUUUUGUUUCGGCGCCAUUUUCGAUUGGGUUGGAGCUUUCUGUUCCAGGCUCCCCCCGUGUCCGCAGUGGCUCCGGCAGGCCUGCACACCAGUAGGCUGGACCCAGGGAGUCGGGCCUUGGUGUCCACUUGGCUGGCUUUCAUGAAGAGAUCUGAAGCGUGCCGUACCACUGCUGACCACCAGGGGGCCCACACUGUCAUCGGAACGCCUAAAAUUGCUGGCAGGAAGCUGAACCAGCUAUCUGAACCAGGUUGACUGUUAGGAGUUGUUCAUGCACCUGUAAGAGAACGAACAAUACAUUUAACAGGGGCUGCUCAGACUCCUGGCUGUGGAAUCAUUUACAUUGAUGGUAGUUGGGGAAUGAGACAGGGGCUUACCAUAAGUAGUACUCGGCUUCCACAGUAUACUUACAUUGAGAUCUCUAAAGUACUCGUUAUAGUCUAGCGCAUAUCCCACGAGGUACUUGUCAGGAACUUCAAAUCCUACAACUGAAAAGAGAAGAACUUCAUUCAUUGAUUUGUCGUGUCUCAAACAAGCCCUGGAAACUUUGCAGGAGGCUUGGUGUAUAUCUGCUUUUUAAAUGCGUGCACAUGAAAGCAAUGCAGACCCCUGGAAGACUUGACAUCAACUAGGUACCAUUGAUGCUUAUCAGACAAAACCCCCAGGAUCACUCACAGUCUGGUCUGUAUCCGACGCUUCUGGGCGUUCUCUUCACCAGCAAGCUGUUGAGACAGAGGAUUGACAUAUAGAUCAACCACAGAAACAGCACAGGCUUGCAUUACAAGCACAGAGCCCACAUUACAACAUCACAGGCCUGCAUCACUACCAGCAUCUAAAAACAGCUGGAGGUGGGGGGCACUGAGGACCCACAGAGAGCGCUCUGCACAGAACCACACUGAGGAUCCACAGACAGCGCUCUGCAAAGAACCACACUGAGGAUCCACAGACAGCGCUCUGCAAAGAACCACACUGAGGAUCCACAGACAGCGCUCUGCAAAGAACCACACUGAGGAUCCAGAGAGCGCUCUGCACAGAACCACACUGAGGAUCCACAGAGAGCGCUCUGCACAGAACCACACUGAGGAUCCACAGACAGCGCUCUGCAAAGAACCACACUGAGGAUCCAGAGAGCGCUCUGCACAGAACCACACUGAGGAUCCACAGAGAGCGCUCUGCACAGAACCACACUGAGGAUCCAGAGAGCGCUCUGCACAGAACCACACUGAGGAUCCACAGAGAGCGCUCUGCACAGAACCACACUGAGGAUCCACAGAGAGACUGCACAGAACCACACUGAGGAUCCACAGAGAGCGCUCUGCACAGAACCACACUGAGGAUCCACAGAGUGCGCUCUGCACAGAACCACACUGAAAAUCCACAGAGAGACUGCACAGAACCACACUGAGAAUCCACAGAGAGCGCUCUGCACAGAACCACAUUGAGGAUCCACAGAGAGCGCUCUGCACAGAACCACACUGAGGAUCCACAGAGAGCGCUCUGCACAGAACCACACUGAGGAUCCACAGUCCCCAUUGAAUUGAAUUGAGAGGGAGGUCUACAUGUUGAUCUGGUCUUAUUAUAAAUAAGGAGGGUAGUGUAGAGCAGGGAUGAAGGUUGAUCAUCUCAAUCGCUGGCUGUGUUAACAUGCUGUGUUCAUAGAAGUGCAGUCAGCUAUUCCCUUCACAAUCACAAGGGGAUGCAAUACCACUCACUCCCACCAGAGGGUGCUACAGCACCGUCGUUCUGCAAGACGUCACAAAGGCCACCUGCCCGUGCUGCUUGUAGUACAGCAGCUGUGCAGCUGGGGAGAGGAGACAGGCUUUGAAGAACAGGCUACAGCAAUUCAAACCGAGCCCAUCAGCUUACCUCGCCACCUUUACCAUCUUGGGGUUGAACUGUUUCAGCAACUUCAGUAAAGUCUUCAUGGUUUUGCCUGUGUCGAUAAUGUCCUGGAAUAAAAACAAGGCAAAUGUAACAAGAAAUAUAAUAAAUCCAUGAGCAGCAAAUUGGAAAACAAACCACACAAUGUGUUUGAGCUUUACAGAUGCAGAGACUCUAAAAGCAGGCUGCAUCCGCCAUCCCCACUGUGGUUUCAGUCUGGCUUACGAGUUCUGAGUUUGCAGUGAGACUUCUUAGACUGGUCUGAUGAGCAAGAAUUUAUAAUAAAUCACCACUCACCUCAACUAUCAGGACGUUCUGUGAGAGAGAGGGAGAGAGAGAGAGAGAUAAAGACUAGAUUGCAUUUAAAAAGGUGCAAUCUUACUACAUCGAUGAUGUCAUGGUUUUUAAGCCCUACCUUCCCAGUCAGUGUAGAAAGGUCGUCUCCCCCGAUAACUUUGAUUUCACCCGUCGACUGAUCAUUCUGAAAGGGAAAAAGAAACCACAAAACAGCACGAUAAAUAACCUGCAGACAGACAGACAGAUCCACUUCAAGGGUGCCACUCCUGUCCUAUUUUGGGGAUUUUUGAUUAGUGGGUUGCUUGCUAAUUGAUGGCCAUGUUUGCUGCCUUCAUUUUUACUUGCUAGUUUAAGACUUUUAAAUACCCAAGUUUGUAGAGUAACUGAGGGCUAUCUGAAUCCUACUGGCUGUGUCCCCCUGAGCCUUAGCGAUCGUGAAAUGGGAAGGGGGCCCUCGGCUGUGCACAGCAGGGAGCAGAGGGUUCAAUUCCUUACACAGUAGCUCUUGAGCCUGAUGAAGUCCACUGUCAUGGGGAUGGACUUGUCACUGUUGCGGUUCAAGGCCUUGAUGUAAUCCAGCAGGUCAGCGAAGAACUUGUACCCGCCCUUCAGGACGCACAGCGCCACGAUGUGGUGACCGCCCAUAUCACGCAUGAUGUCACGGGCCAGGCGCUCCGUCCUGCAGGGGGAGAGAGAGAGAUCGCACCCAUCUGUUAGCUUGCCUGCGUUGAGGGUGUCCCUGGAUUGAUUCCUCUCGCCUCCUACACCCGCACUCUGCAGGGUCAGACGGCACAGAUCCAGGACGUGACCUGAGCUAUCUGUCUGCAUCUCACCCCGGCAGCUGGAAGUACUGAUCUAGAAAUCACAGCCCAGCCGUGACCGAGCAGAUCACAAGCAAACUGACAGCAGAAGAGUCUGAGGAAUCCAGCUCAAUCACACACAGAGAGAGGCUGUGUAGGAUUGUGAGGAUGAGAGAUGGAUUGAUUGCACAUCACUGUCUACUGCAUAUGAACUCACUUUAACAAGGAGGACGACUCGCUGGCCUCGUGGUGCACUGAACACACACACACACACGCAAGGAUCACAUUCACCCUGUUUACAGAGUUCCUCUGUAAAGCCAAACUUUAACUCCCUUAUAAAUGAAUGACCUUUUUAAAUAAAAUGCUUUUUUCUUUG